rnacentral:misc_RNA from 1 species
ACUAUAAUAUGGUGGACUGUACCUCCUCAUAAUAUUGCCUAUAAAACAAUCAUAAUCCAUGUAAAUAUAAUCAAUGCACAUUUUUUACUAACAAAUCGAAAUUCGUCAUCUCCCUCUACUUUUUCAAGCAAUGCAUGCAUACUACCGCAUAACAUAAAAACAUUUUCUUUACCCGGAUGAUCAAAAUUUUUCAUGCCAAUUCAAUUACGCAAUUUUAUUUAGAGAGAGAGAGAGAGA